rnacentral:ncRNA from 1 species
CAGAGUAGGCCAAUAUUCGUCAAGUGUCCGGCAGACGGGGAGUUGCUGCCGGGACGAAAAGCCGGAUGACCGGCUUGCGGUUUAUUGGCCGCAUCCCGCUGU